rnacentral:rRNA from 1 species
CUACGGGGCGCUGCAGGCGCGAAACCUUUACAAUGCACGCAAGUGUGAUAAGGGAACCCAAAGUGCUCAACUUUGUUGGGCUUUUGCCAAGAGUAAAUAUCUUGGAGAAUAAGUGGUGGGUAAGACUGGUGCCAGCCGCCGCGGUAACACCAGCGCCACAAGUGGCAAUCCGCUUUAUUGGCCUAAAGCGUCCGUAGCUGGUUAAGUAAAUCUCUUGUGAAAUUGUUCAGCUUAACUGAACAGCGUGCAGGAGAGACUGCUUAACUAGGGACCGGGAGGAGUUAGAAGUAUGCAGUGGGGAGCGGUAAAAUGCUAUAAUCCUCUGUAGACUACCUGUGGCGAAGGCGUCUAACUAGAACGGGUCCGACAGUGAGGGACGAAAGCCAGGGGAGCAAACCGGAUUAGAUACCCGCGUAGUC